AUUGAACGCUGGCGGCAUGCCUUACACAUGCAAGUCGAACGGCAGCACGGGAGCAAUCCUGGUGGCGAGUGGCGAACGGGUGAGUAAAGUAUCGGAACGUGCCCAGUCGUGGGGGAUAACGUAGCGAAAGUUGUGCUAAUACCGCAUACGUACUGAGGUAGAAAGUGGGGGACCUUCGGGCCUCACGCUAUUCGAGCGGCCGACGUCUGAUUAGCUAGUAGGUGAGGUAAAGGCUCACCUAGGCGACGAUCAGUAGCGGGUCUGAGAGGAUGAUCCGACACACUGGGACUGAGACACGGCCCAGACUCCUACGGGAGGCAGCAGUGGGGAAUGUUGGACAAUGGGCGAAAGCCUGAUCCAGCCAUGCCGCGUGUCUGAAGAAGGCCUUCGGGUUGUAAAGGACCUUUGUCAGGGAGGAAAUCCCUAGUGCUAAUAACACUGGGGGAUGACAGUACCUGAAGAAUAAGCACCGGCUAACUACGUGUCAGCAGCCGCCGUAA
rnacentral:rRNA from 1 species